rnacentral:rRNA from 1 species
UGAGGAAUAUUGGUCAAUGGGCGGAAGCCUGAACCAGCCAAGUCGCGUGAGGGAAGACGGCCCUACGGGUUGUAAACCUCCUUUGCCGGGGAGCAAUGCCCAGCUCGCGAGCUGGGAAGGAGAGUACCCGGAGAAAAAGCAUCGGCUAACUCCGUGCC